CGCGAUUCGCCCUUCGGGGUGCGCAGGCGCGAAAACUUUACAAUGCGGGAAACCGUGAUAAGGGAACUCUGAGUGCCCGUAAAAUCGGGCUGUCCAUCAGUUUAAAUAACUGGUGAAGAAAGGGCCGGGCAAGACCGGUGCCAGCCGCCGCGGUAAUACCGGCGGCUCGAGUGGUGGCCACUAUUACUGGGCUUAAAGCGUUCGUAGCUGGUUUGUUAAGUCUCUGGGGAAAUCUUCCGGCUUAACCGGAAGGCGUCUCAGGGAUACUGGCAGACUAGGGACCGGGAGAGGUGAGGGGUACUUCAGGGGUAGGAGUGAAAUCCUGUAAUCCUUGAGGGACCACCUGUGGCGAAGGCGCCUCACCAGAACGGCUCCGACAGUGAGGGACGAAAGCUGGGGGAGCAAACCGGAUUAGAUACCCGGGUAGUCCCAGCUGUAAACGAUGCGCGUUAGGUGUAUCGGUGACCACGAGUCACCGAGGUGCCGAAGAGAAAUCGUGAAACGUGCCGCCUGGGAAGUACGGUCGCAAGGCUGAAACUUAAAGGAAUUGGCGGGGGAGCAC
rnacentral:rRNA from 1 species